AUGCUAGGACAUCCGCACCAAUGUGUGUGUGUUGUUGUUUGACUUGUAUGCGUAGCCAUGGCCAUCUAGGACAAAUCCGAAUUCAGCUGUAGGCAUUGUUUGAUAGCAGGAGACUAGAAUUUGAGGACAAACAAGUUUUAUUAUAAUUUCAUACAACAGACAUUGGUUGACAUAAUGCUCAUGUGAGGCAUGCUUUUGUUAUGGAUGACAUUCUUUUUAGUUUGCGACACCUUAUGAAAAUUUACCUUGUAGGCCACACUACAAUGUCAACCUGAAAGUGAUUGCUGUUGGUGGUGCGACGCUGCAGCUUCCAACAAAUACUUUUGAUACAGGUGAAAGUAAAGGUACUAUGAUUGAUAGCGGGACAACACUGACGUAUCUCCCAGAGGAAGUUUAUAAGACUAUGUUGGCUGCGGUUUUUGAUAAGUAUCAAGAUAUGUACUCACCUAAUUAUCAAGACCCUCUCUGUUUCAAGUUUUCUGGAAGGUAAGCUUGGCAAUGGUUCUCUGUAAACUCCCCUGCUCUCCAUAUAUUGAUACAUGCAUUUGUACAUUCAUCGUGAAGGGUUCAUCUCCCCACAUGGCCCCUUUUGUUUUUUAUUUUCGUAUGUUUUUAAGUCCUUCACUAAAUUCCUUUGCAGUGUAGAUGAUGAAUUUCCCAUAAUCACCUUUCAUUUUGAGGGAGACCUUACACUGAAUGUUUACCCUGAUUACCUAUUGCAAAAUGGGGUGCCCGGAAACUUUAUCAAAGCGGAGGUACUCCCAGCUGCAGAGAAGGAAGAUAUAAAUGCUUGAUAUUGUUACAAAGCAGAGGAAGGCUUUGUUUCAAGAAGGAAAUAAUGAUGUGGCCUAGGCCACUCCAAAUAUUUCAGUUGAUGCUACCACAAAGGUUUGCAAUGAAUCAAAUAUUUCUUUUAUUCAGAUUGGUGCAUUUUGUUCCAAUGUAAAGCAUGGCAAGAAGGAGGAUAUUCUUACUGAUGUUAUGACAAACAAAGCAAGAUGAUUUCAUGCUACUGAAGAAACAAUCUCCAAUUUGUGGUGGAUGCAACUUAGCGGUCGACGAUGAGAUGCUCGGGGCUAAGCGGAGUGCUCAGUGUCGGACGAUCAAGGAGGUCAGACAGAGUCAAAAGUGAUUCUAGCUGAACACGUAGAGGUCAAGCAAAGCAUGGAAAGUGGAUGUAGGCGUAUUGAUAAAGUCAAACGAAGGGGAUGAUGGUGCAAGUGAUAAGGCGGCCAAAGGAAUCGGGAGCGGGAGAGACUUGUUGGCGGUCAGGAUCGUAUGGCGGAGUAUAUGUAUCGAUAUCGAAGCACUUGCUUAAGGUGUAAGUAAGGUGGUGAGUCACGCUUUAAGAAGUAUGCAAGCGAUUUCACAGUUUGGCCUCAAAAUCAUAGGAGGACUGGAGGAGUACGUGGCACCAUCGCGAAGCUUGCGUCAAGGCAAAGCUAAGUUGUAAAGGCGUCAUAGUCGUUCGAUGAAUGGAGAAGAAAAUAGAUUAAAAUAUCUUCGGUGAUAGGUAGGAGUGUACUACAAUAGAUGGUAUUUUGGGAAAAAGCUAGGAAACUUAGGGAUUAAGUUUAUUAGGCCUAUAAAUAGAGGGGUAGGACUAUGAGAGAGUUUGAACCAGUCAAUUGAGUUCCCUUUACCACCUAUUUGAGAGUUUAGAACUAGAGUUUUAGAUGAGAGAAUGAUGAGUGUUUAGCUUAUGUAAUAGGUGAGAGUUUUAAGAGAAAUCUUUGUAAUCCAUCUAAAAUAGGGUUGACAUUUUUUAUAAUGAAGUUUAUGUUUUUCA